AUUGAACGCUGGCGGCAUGCUUUACACAUGCAAGUCGAACGGCAGCGCGGGCUUCGGCCUGGCGGCGAGUGGCGAACGGGUGAGUAAUACAUCGGAACGUGCCCAGUAGUGGGGGAUAGCUCGGCGAAGGCCGGAUUAAUACCGCAUACGACCUGAGGGUGAAAGCGGGGGAUCUUCGGACCUCGCGCUAUUGGAGCGGCCGAUGGCAGAUUAGCUAGUUGGUGGGGUAAAGGCCUACCAAGGCGACGAUCUGUAGCUGGUCUGAGAGGACGACCAGCCACACUGGGACUGAGACACGGCCCAGACUCCUACGGGAGGCAGCAGUGGGGAAUUUUGGACAAUGGGCGAAAGCCUGAUCCAGCAAUGCCGCGUGUGUGAUGAAGGCCUUCGGGUUGUAAAGCACUUUUGGCGGGAACGAAAAGGACUGUGCCAAUACCACGGUUCGAUGACGGUACCCGCAGAAUAAGCACCGGCUAACUACGUG
rnacentral:rRNA from 1 species